rnacentral:lncRNA from 1 species
CAUGUGUAAUAUGAAAGUCAAGCUGCGACUAUGUGUGGAUGUCUGCGGAAACAAGUCAUUGCUUGUUGAAGUACUGUAUAACAGCAAAAUUAAAAAGCAGUGACUGUGUAUUUAUAAUUAGACAACAGAAUUUGAACUUUCUUUGUGGAUUGUUAACAGUAUUUUCAGUGUUUUAUAGUCCUGUCAUUAUUAUUCUGUGUACUACCAUCAUGUGUGUUCAUUCACAGGGAGAAGAUCAUGUGUAGGAGCUUUCUCUUCAUAAUUCUGACUUCAUGUGUCUGCGAAAUGUCGGAUAAUCAUAACAAGGAUCUGUACUAUCAGGCUGAAGAAAAUCGUGACAUCACAGUAGAAUGGACGUUUACAACCAAAGUUAGCAUCACCAUUUCAUCGCUUAAGAUCCACUGCCUGCAGUUACCUGAGCUGAAGGUUUUCUUCAACAUGGACAGUAGUUCUGAUGAGCCUCAGCAUGAGCAGUUUGCUGGACGUGUUCAGUGUGACAAAGACGCUCUGACCACAGGACGAGUCAGACUUCAGCUGUCCAGAGUCAAGAGUAACGACUCGGGCCGCUACCUCUGCAGGAUGGCCACUCAGUUUGGAAAGAAAGUUAAAGAGUUCAGGCUCAACAACACAGCAGCCACGGUGAAACCCAAGCCAGUGACAGCAACGCAAGAACCAAACCGAAAACCUGAGAGAGAAGAAAGAAGCUGUUUUGCCAACUUGGCACUGGGUGCAGGAUUGGCAGGAUGUCUGGCUGCCUUUAUCAUACCAAUCAUUUACCUCUUUACUCUAUACAGACAGGGGACAAUUGUAUGA